GAUGAACGCUAGCGGGAGGCCUAACACAUGCAAGCCGAGCGGUAUUGUUUCUUCGGAAAUGAGAGAGCGGCGUACGGGUGCGGAACACGUGUGCAACCUGCCUUUAUCCGGGGAUAGCCUUUCGAAAGGAAGAUUAAUACUCCAUAACAUAUUGAACGGCAUCGUUUAAUAUUGAAAGCUCCGGCGGAUAGAGAUGGGCACGCGCAAGAUUAGCUAGUUGGUGAGGUAACGGCUCACCAAGGCGAUGAUCUUUAGGGGGCCUGAGAGGGGGAUCCCCCACACUGGUACUGAGACACGGACCAGACUCCUACGGGAGGCAGCAGUGAGGAAUAUUGGUCAAUGGGUGCAAGCCUGAACCAGCCAUCCCGCGUGAAGGACGACUGCCCUAUGGGUUGUAAACUUCUUUUGUAUAGGGAUAAACCUACCCUCGUGAGGGUAGCUGAAGGUACUAUACGAAUAAGCACCGGCUAACUCCGUGCCAGCCGCCGCUGUAACAC
rnacentral:rRNA from 1 species